AGGACGAACGCUGGCGGCGUGCUUAACACAUGCAAGUCGAACGGGAUCCAUGGAGUAGCAAUACUUCGGAAGAUCUAGUGGCGAACGGGUGAGUAACACGUGAGCAACCUGCCCCAAAGACUGGGAUAACCCCGGGAAACCGGAGCUAAUACCGGAUGUCCUCAUCGGAUCGCAUGGUCUGAUGAGGAAAUGAAUUUCGCUUUGGGAGGGCUCGCGGGAUAUCAGCUUGUUGGUGGGUAAUGGCCUACAAGGCUUCGACGUCUAGCUGGUCUGAGAGGACGAUCAGCCACACUGGGACUGAGACACGGCCCAGACUCCGUACGGGAGCAGCGAGGUGGGGAAUCGUGCCCAAGUGGGACGAAACGCCUAGAGGCAGGCCGAACGGCCG
rnacentral:rRNA from 1 species